rnacentral:lncRNA from 1 species
AUUCAAUCCCACAUAAGAGAAAUCUCUAAGGUUGGUGCCUUAUACAAAAAUAGGCAUGCCUCUAAAUGGGGGAAUGUGACAGAGAUCCAGACCUGAUUAUUAAAUAAAAUUAUGAGAACAUUAAGAUAAAGAACCUUUCCCUGUGGAAAGGGUUAAUUUUCUUAUACUUUAUAACUUUCUGAACUCUCUAGAAAUGUAGCUACAUCGAUUAAUUGCUAGGCCAAUUAACUGCCAUCUAAACUAUAGCCUUGUAGGCUUAAUUCUCAGAACUAUUGCUCUUAGGGAGGUAAAAUCAAGUUAUCUUGAGUUACUGCUGCCUAUGGUGAAGGCCACAUGGUGAUAGCACUCACAGUGUUUUACUGUCUUUAUUCCUCACCUGUGAACUACUUAUUGUAAAUUCCCUGUGCAUGCUCUUUGGUCACAUUGGCCAAGAGUUCAAACCCUCCAAUGUUGUAUUGGUUAAGAAAUGAUGUCUACUUUCCUAUUAAGAGCUCCCUGUAACCUCAGCUUCGGUUCCAUAACUUUAGAACUCUAGCUUAUCUGGGUCCAUCAGUGUAAAGAAAACUGAGUUCUCCAAGCCUUGGAGAACUUGGAGUGGUGCUUGGUGUCUUUCUGAGAGUGAUUUCCAUAACAAAAGAAGCAGCUGAAGACUUUGGCAUUACAGGGGUACAAGUCCUAUUUUCAAUGAAAGAUCUAAAACAGAAUAGACUAGAUCUAGGAAAAUUUAUACAUGGACAUAGCAAUACACUGAGAACUUUCAACACUUAAUCAAAACUUUGGACUCAAUUUGGGAGGAUAUAAAUAAUACUAUUUGUAUAGAUUUUAGCAACCACAGAGUGAUAGUGACAGGAUCUCCCUAAGCUUUAGAGAUCAACUGCAUCUUGUGGAUAGAGGUUAUCCUAUAGGAAUUACUGAAGUUCCUACUAUAGACCCAAAAUGGAAUUAUGAUGAGGAAGAAGUUAGGAAAAAGCAGAACUACUAACUAUUCUGCUUAAAUGAAGGACUGAGAGAAAGCGAAAUGAAGCCUUUAAACUAUGCAGAAUUAAUAAUGAUACAACAGAACAAUUAAGCCUGCUUUCCUUCUGGAACACCUUAAGGUGACAUUCAUUACACUUGUAUAAGUCCAUAUUCUCUAGAAGGACAGUUGAUUUUUAAAAGGUAAUUUAUCAUUCAGUCAGCCCAGAUAUUAGGAAUAAACUAUAGUAGUUAGCCUUGGGUCCUGGAACUCUCAUUGAUGAACUACUAAAAAUUGCAUGUCCAUGUAUUAUAACCACGAAAAGAGAAGGAAUUAAUGGCCCGGAGAAGAAAUUAUAAGGUACUAGAAUGGAAAGUCCAUCUCUUGAGGGCAGCACUAGUCAAAUCCAGUUUUCGGUAUCCUCAAAUCAUGUCUCCACCUGGGGAAUGCUACUUCUGCAAAAAAACAAAAACAAAAAGAAAACAACAAUAAAAACACAAACAAACAAAAACCCCUGGCCACUGUAAGUAUAACUGCCCAAGCAAUAGCCAGGCAAUAGUCACAGUGUGAGUGACAAGGACACUGGAAACAUGAUUGCCCUGAGGACCAAAGGGACUUUAGGACAACUGACUCUGCUGAUGCCCCAGUGGCUAAAAAAUCAGAAGGUCUUCAGACUCCAUUGGCCUAUGGCACUUCCAUUGCAAUUCAUAGAUGGAACUGAGGGUAAUACUGGAUUUUGCAGGCAAACCAGUGUCAUUCUUACUUGAUACAGUUACCAUUUAUUCUGUUCUUAUUUCUUUCUCUGCCAAAUUAUCUACCAGCUUUUGCUAGGUUAACAUGAAUUGAUGGAAAGACCCAGACCCAACACUUUAAUGAACUGGUGGUUUUGUACAUGGGGUAACUGGACAUUUCCUCAUUCCUUCCUUAUAAGCCUGACUGUCCAGACCCUCCAUUAGGUCAAGAUAUAUUAGAAAUGAGGGGAGCUCAGAUUGUUUUUGAAAAUUCACAGGAAUCACCUAUGACAUUUAAGACUUUAACAAAUUCCACAAGGCAUCUUCACAAUGCCUGCAGAUUCAAAUGUAAAUCCUGAGGUAUGGGACAUUGGAAUCCCCAGGAAAGAUCCAAAAAAAAAAAAAAAAAACAAAAACCAAAACGUAUUCUUGGCCUACAUGACCAAGGACCAUGAAUGGGAAUUUUUAGACUUAAGGAGCCUACUAAUUUCAUAUUUAGAAUUAAGGAGCCUACUAAUUUCUCUAACUGAAGGGGGAAAUAUUACUUUCUAGCUGUGGUCUUUGUAAGAUAUUGUUUAAAUACUGGUUUAAAUUGUAACAUUUCUGUGCUACGUUGGAAUGACAGCACUUAGGAAUGUUUGCUUGCAAUUAUUUUGAGAAACAGCUGCCUGUGAAAAGCACCACUCCCCUUAUCACUUGUAGGUGCUAGCCCUGCUUUAGACCUCUCUCUCUGCUUCAGUAAACAGGCUUGCCACAAAAAUUCCCAUUCAUGGUCCUUAGUCAUGUAGGCCAAGAAUUCAAAUUUACAAAUGCUACAACUAAGAAAUGAAGUUAAACUCA